CCUACGGGUGGCAGCAGUGGGGAAUAUUGCACAAUGGGCGCAAGCCUGAUGCAGCGACGCCGCGUGGGGGAUGACGGCCUUCGGGUUGUAAACCUCUUUCAGUAGGGAACAAGCCGUGCUUGUGAGUGUGGUGAGGGUACCUGCAGAAGAAGUACCGGCUAACUACGUGCCAGCAGCCGCGGUAAUACGUAGGGUACAAGCGUUGUCCGGAAUUAUUGGGCGUAAAGAGCUCGUAGGUGGUCUGUCGCGUCUGCUGUGGAAUCGCAUCGCUUAACGGUGCGCGUGCAGUGGGUACGGGCGGACUGGAGUGCAGUAGGGGAGUCUGGAAUUCCUGGUGUAGCGGUGAAAUGCGCAGAUAUCAGGAGGAACACCGGUGGCGAAGGCGGGACUCUGGGCUGUAACUGACGCUGAGGAGCGAAAGCAUGGGGAGCGAACAGGAU
rnacentral:rRNA from 1 species